UGUGGAAUAGAGAAGUUCGGUCAUCUCAUGGGUUUCAUACGCCUAAGAUCGCGGGUUCAAAUCCCGCCUCCGCAACGA
rnacentral:tRNA from 1 species